CUGAAACUCAUUUCCAUGUCUGGAAUUGGAUCAAUUCAGUCACUGAGAUUAAAGAAUUAUACACUUUAAAGAGCUAUCUGCUGAGUUGACACAUGCCCAUCACGCCCAUGAGGAAGAGAUGCCCACCACAUCCAUCACUCAAGUUUGUCUAUAAAAGCAAGUUGUGGAGAUUCAAGAGUUUUAUAUUUUCUUUUCAUUUCUCUACAGGUCACUAUGUGAUGGAUAUUCCUGGCCCAACUCCGGAAAGGCCUGUCAUUGUGUGGAGGGAGACAAGGAGCCAAAAACAAAACUAUCUAAUUUCUUGAUUUCUGUAGUGGAAAAGAUAAACAAGUUUUCUGGCUUUCAAUGGUCUUCUAUCAAAUACUGAGAAGGGUUGUGUAAAGUCAGGUCAUUGCAUGUUAAUUGAGCUUUUUUUCCUCUGAAAAUUCCUGCCACAGAUGCUCCAGAGAACAUUUACAAAACAGGCUCUAUCUUCAGAAAGCUUUAGCACUUUUUAUAAAAUCUAUUUUUAGAGAACUUCGGCGCUAGAUAGAAGAAAGAGUGAAUAUAGAGAACAGAAGAGAAGGGAUGAUCAGAGGAUAGUUUAUACUUGGAAAAAAGAAAAAAAAGAAAAAACCCUCUCUGCAUGCAGUGCCAUUGUUGACGAUGAUGACAAGAUCCAGGUUGCAAUCCUGUGAGCAGAUGGCUAGGUUGUGGUGGAGGGAAUAAUCUUUAUUUCUAAGGAGGUCAAGAGAAUUUCUACUUUUUAGAUCAUCUGCUUGAUGUUGAAGUUUCUAAAACUGAUGACAUGAUUGUGUGGGGAAGAGGAUGUCUAUCUGAGUGAAUUAGGGAGAGAAGAUGGACAUAACAACAAAGAGAACACGUAAAAUCUGAUGACAUGUUGAAAAGGAACUACAAUUUGUGAAAAAGGGAGAAUUUAUUUAGGUGUAAUGACUGGGCGUAUAAAACCUGUUAGCCUAAGGUGCUAAAGUGAGGUGCAUAAGUGGGUGCAAAAAGUGAAGGACCUGGAACCUCAGGACAUGUCCCCAAUAACUAGUUUAAGGAUGGAGAAGUCUGUUGAUCGCAGACCCUGAAUCUGGCACCAUAUGGUGGUAAGGGUUUGGGAGGAGAGGAGUUAAUAGGACACGGGUCAUUGUAGAUUAUAUUCAGAGCCUUAUGGGAAUAAGUGUGUAUGUGAUGACUAAGGAUCCGGGAGUCUGGGG
rnacentral:lncRNA from 1 species